rnacentral:rRNA from 1 species
AGUUCGAUCAUGGCUCAGACUGAACGCUGGCGGGAUGCUUUACAUGCAAGGUGAACGGCAGCACGGACUUCGGUCUGGUGGCGAGUGGCGAACGGGUGAGUAAUGUAUCGGAACGUGCCUAGUAGCAGGGGACAACUACGCGAAAGCGUAGCUAAUACCACAUACGCCCUUCAGGAAAGCGAGACCUUCGGGCCUCGCACUAUUGAAGCGGCCGAUAUCGGAUUAGCUAGUUGGUGGGGUAACGGCUCACCAAGGCGACGAUCCGUAGCUGGUUUGGGGACGACAACCACACUGGGACUGAGACACGGCCCGGACUCCUACGGAGGCAGCAGUGGGGGAAUUUUGGACAAUGGGGGAAACCCUGAUCCAGCCAUCCGCGUGUGCGAUGAAGGCCUUCGGGUUGUAAAGCACUUUUGGCGGGAAAGAAACGCGGCACGGGAUAAUACCCCGUGCAGCGUACCUGCAGAAUAAGCACCGGCUAACUACGUGCCAGCAGCCGCGGUAAUACGUAGGGUGCAAGCGUUAAUCGGAAUUACUGGGCGUAAAGCGUGCGCAGGCGGUUCGGAAAGAAGAUGUGAAAUCCAGAACGCUUUGGAACUGCAUUUUUAACUACCGAGCUAGAGUGUGUCGGAGAAUGGAAUUCCGCGAUGUAGCAGUGAGAAAUGCGGCAGAAUGCGGAGAACACCGAUGGCGAGAGCAGCCUGCAGGAUAACACUGACGCUCAUGCACGAAAAGCGUGGGGAGCAAACAGGAUUACUGAAUGCCUGGUAGUCCACGACUAAACGAUGUCAACUAGCUGGUGGGGCCUUCGGGCGCCGGUAGCCCGCAGCUAACGCGUGAGAUUGACCGCCUGGGGAGUACGGUGCCGAGAUUAAAACUCAAGGUCGGCGGGGACCCGCACAAGCGGUGGAUGAUGUGGAUUAAUUCGAUGCAACGCGAAAAACCUUGCCUACCCUUGACGUAAUAUCCUGAUCCCGAAGAGAUUUGGGAGUGCUCGCAAGAGAACCGGAACAGGUGCUGCAUGGCUGUCGUCAGCUCGUGUCGUGGAAUGUUAGGUUAAGUCCCGCAACGAGCGCAACCCUUGUCAUUAGUUGCUACGAAAGGGCGCCCCAAUGAGACUGCCGGUGACCGGAGGAAGGUGGGGAUGACGUCAAGUCCUCAUGGCCCAUAUAGGUGAGACUUCACACGUCGCCACACUGGUCGGGACAAGAGGUCGCCAACCGCGAGGAGCCAAUCCCAGAAACCCGAUCGUAGUCGGAUCGCAGUCUGCAACUCGACUGCGUGAAGUCGGAAUCGCUAGUAAUCGCGGAUCAGCAUGUCGCGGUGAAUACGUUCCCGGGUCUUGUACACACCGCCCGCCACACUUGGGAAUUGGGUUUUGCAAGUAGUUAGCUUCUAACAAGGAGGCGAUUACCACGGUAGAAGUUCAUGACUGGGGUGAAGUCGUAACAAGGU